rnacentral:rRNA from 1 species
GAUGAACGCUGGCGGCGUGCCUAAUACAUGCAAGUCGAGCGAACGGACGAGAAGCUUGCUUCUCUGAUGUUAGCGGCGGACGGGUGAGUAACACGUGGAUAACCUACCUAUAAGACUGGGAUAACUUCGGGAAACCGGAGCUAAUACCGGAUAAUAUUUUGAACCGCAUGGUUCAAAAGUGAAAGACGGUCUUGCUGUCACUUAUAGAUGGAUCCGCGCUGCAUUAGCUAGUUGGUAAGGUAACGGCUUACCAAGGCAACGAUGCAUAGCCGACCUGAGAGGGUGAUCGGCCACACUGGAACUGAGACACGGUCCAGACUCCUACGGGAGGCAGCAGUAGGGAAUCUUCCGCAAUGGGCGAAAGCCUGACGGAGCAACGCCGCGUAGUGAUGAAGGUCUUCGGAUCGUAAAACUCUGUUAUUAGGGAAGAACAUAUGUGUAAGUAACUGUGCACAUCUUGACGGUACCUAAUCAGAAAGCCACGGCUAACUACGUG